rnacentral:rRNA from 1 species
AGAACGAACGCUGGCGGCAGGCUUAACACAUGCAAGUCGAACGCCCCGCAAGGGGAGUGGCAGACGGGUGAGUAACGCGUGGGAAUCUACCCAGAUCUUCGGAACAACUGAGGGAAACUUCAGCUAAUACCGGAUACGCCCUACGGGGAAAGAUUUAUCGGUUCUGGAUGAGCCCGCGUUGGAUUAGCUAGUUGGUGGGGUAAUGGCCUACCAAGGCGACGAUCCAUAGCUGGUCUGAGAGGAUGAUCAGCCACACUGGGACUGAGACACGGCCCAGACUCCUACGGGAGGCAGCAGUGGGGAAUAUUGGACAAUGGGCGAAAGCCUGAUCCAGCCAUGCCGCGUGAGUGAUGAAGGCCUUAGGGUUGUAAAGCUCUUUCAGUGGGGAAGAUAAUGACGGUACCUACAGAAGAAGCCCCGGCUAACUUCGUGCCAGCAGCCGC